UAAGGGAAUAUUGGUCAAUGGACGCAAGUCUGAACCAGCCAUGCCGCGUGGAGGAUGAAGGUCCUCUGGAUUGUAAACUUCUUUUAUCUGGGAAGAAAUCCUCGAAUUCUUCGGGGUUGACGGUACCAGAUGAAUAAGCACCGGCUAACUCCGUGCCAGCAGCCGCGGUAAUACGGAGGGUGCAAGCGUUAUCCGGAUUCACUGGGUUUAAAGGGUGCGUAGGCGGACAGGUAAGUCAGUGGUGAAAUCUCUGGGCUUAACUCAGAAACUGCCGUUGAUACUAUCUGUCUUGAAUAUCCUGGAGGUAAGCGGAAUAUGUCAUGUAGCGGUGAAAUGCUUAGAUAUGACAUAGAACACCGAUAGCGAAGGCAGCUUACUACAGGAUGAUUGACGCUGAGGCACGAAAGCGUGGAGCAAACAGGAUUAGAUACCC
rnacentral:rRNA from 1 species